GACGUAGGAUGCGAGCGUUGUCCGGAAUUAUUGGGCGUAAAGGGAGCGUAGGUGGUUGUUUAAGUUUGGUCUUAAAGACCAGGGCUUAACCCUGGGAGUGGACCGAAAACUGAGCAGCUAGAGGAUGGAAGAGGAAAGUGGAAUUCCCAGUGUAGCGGUGAAAUGCGUAGAUAUUGGGAGGAACACCAGUGGCGAAAGCGUCUUUCUGGUCCAUUCCUGACACUGAGGCUCGAAAGCUCGGGGAGCAAACAGG
rnacentral:rRNA from 1 species